ensembl:snoRNA
AGCAGGGCUGUGAAAUUCAAUGUCAUCUGCUAUGGUUGGUGCUGGCCCUGCCAGCUGCUGCAGAAAUAACUGUAGCUCAUGGGCCUCAGAGUGCA